GACGAACGCUGGCGGCGUGCUUAACACAUGCAAGUCGAACGGUGAAGCGCUUGCCUUUUUGGUGGGUGUGGAUGAGUGGCGAACGGGUGAGUAACACGUGAGUAACCUGCCCUCUUCUUCUGGAUAACCUCAUGAAAGUGGGGCUAAUACGGGGUAUUCCGGGUCUGUCGCAUGGCGGGUUUGGGAAAGAUUGCGCCUUUGGGUGUUUUCGGUGGGGGAUGGGCUCGCGGCCUAUCAGCUUGUUGGUGGGGUGAUGGCCUACCAAGGCGGUGACGGGUAGCCGGCCUGAGAGGGUGGACGGCCAGAGUGGGACUGAGACACGGCCCAGACUCCUGCGGGAGGCAGCAGUGGGGAAUAUUGCAUAAGGGGCGCAAGCCUGAUGCAGCGACGCCGCGUGAGGGAUGGAGGCCUUCGGGUUGUGAACCUCUUUCGCCAGUGAAGCAGGCCUGCUCCUGUGUGGGUGGGUUGACGGUAGCUGGAUAAGAAGCGCCGGCUAACUACGUG
rnacentral:rRNA from 1 species